UGAGAAGUAACAUGUGGCCACAGGAUAUCCUGCACAUAUCCCUGAGCUCUAAGUAUCCCUCAUAUCACUUCGAUGGUGUUCAAGAUGUUAACCUUAUUCCAUUGGAGAAGAUGUCAAGAUUUAUCCGGUGAGCUGGUUUUCUCCUCCCACUGUUUGACACGUGUAAUGCAGUUUCCCUUCCUGUACCUAAGAGGUCGGCUGAUCAGAACCAAAGUGGAUAUAGUAGUAGUUCCACCAUCAUAUGCUCCAACAUGCUCCUUACCUGGUCCUGCGUGGCUUAAAAUUCUGCCAGGCGGUCCCACUGCUGUUACGCCCUCCGAAAUAAAG